rnacentral:rRNA from 1 species
GAUGAACGCUAGCUACAGGCUUAACACAUGCAAGUCGAGGGGAAACGACAUCGAAAGCUUGCUUUUGAUGGGCGUCGACCGGCGCACGGGUGAGUAACGCGUAUCCAACCUGCCCAUCACUUGGGAAUAACCUUGCGAAAGUAAGACUAAUACCCAAUGAUAUCCCACGAAGGCAUCGGAAUGGGAUUAAAGAUUUAUCGGUGAUGGAUGGGGAUGCGUCUGAUUAGCUUGUUGGCGGGGUAACGGCCCACCAAGGCAACGAUCAGUAGGGGUUCUGAGAGGUAGGUCCCCCACAUUGGAACUGAGACACGGUCCAAACUCCUACGGGAGGCAGCAGUGAGGAAUAUUGGUCAAUGGGCGAGAGCCUGAACCAGCCAAGUAGCGUGCAGGAAGACGGCCCUAUGGGUUGUAAACUGCUUUUAUAAGGGAAUAAAGUGGGUCACGUGUGACUUUUUGCAUGUACCUUAUGAAUAAGGACCGGCUAAUUCCGUG